rnacentral:tRNA from 1 species
GGAGCCGUGGUGUAGUGGUCAACAUGUCUGCCUGUCACGCAGAAGAUCGCGGGUUCAAGUCCCGUCGGUUCCG